CGCUGGAACGGCUGUAGCAAUACAGUCGCGAAGGCGUGGCGAACGGGUGAGUAACGCGUGGACAACCUGCCCGCGAGUGGGGGAUAACCCCGGGAAACUGGGGCUAAUACCGCAUAACCUUCCGAGGCCGUAGGGUCUUGGAAGCAAACCCGCAAGGGGCUCACGGAGGGGUCCGCGUUCGAUCAGCUAGUUGGUGAGGUGACGGCUCACCAAGGCGGAGACCGAUAGCCGGUCUGAGAGGACGAUCGGCCACACUGGGACUGCGACACGGCCCAGACUCCUACGGGAGGCAGCAGUGGGGAAUAUUGCGCAAUGGGGGAAACCCUGACGCAGCGACGCCGCGUGGAGGAUGAAGCCCUUCCGGGUGUAAACUCCUUUCGACGGGGACGAAACGCCCGCAAGGGUUUGACGGUCCCCGUACAAGAACCCCCGGCUAACUACGUGCCAGCAGCCGCGGUAAUACGUAGGGGGCAAGCGUUGCUCGGAAUUACUGGGCGUAAAGGGUUCGUAGGCGGUUGGGUAAGUCUGCGGUGAAAUCUCCCGGCUUAACUGGGAGGGGUCCGCCGAAACUGCCUGACUGGAGGGCCGGAGAGGCUAGUGGAAUUACCGGUGUACCGGUGAAAUGCGUAGAUAUCGUUAGGAACACCGGAGGCCAAGCCGCUCGAUGGACGGCCCUGAACUGAGGAACGAAAGCUGGGGGACUAACAGGAUUAUAACCCUGGUAGUCCCACCCCUAACCAUGGUCACUAUACGUGCCGCGCGUUGCGCGGCGUGUCCACCUGAGUCGCUACGUGACCGACUGGGAGUCGGUCGCAGGCUGAACUCUCACGAUUGAGGGUG
rnacentral:rRNA from 1 species